rnacentral:rRNA from 1 species
CGAACGCUGGCGGCGUGCUUAACACAUGCAAGUCGAACGCGAACGUUUUCUUCGGAAAACUAGUAGAGUGGCGCACGGGUGAGUAACGCGUAGAUAACCUGUCCUUAUGUCUGGGAUAACCCACCGAAAGGUGGACUAAUACCGGAUAUGCUUAUUUUUCAUAAGUUAUAUAAGUAAAGGUGGCCUCUGAUUUAAGCUACUGCAUGAGGAGGGGUCUGCGUACCAUUAGCUUGUUGGUGGGGUAAUGGCCUACCAAGGCUUCGAUGGUUAGCGGGUCUGAGAGGAUGAUCCGUCACACUGGCACUGAAACACGGGCCAGACUCCUACGGGAGGCAGCAGUGAGGAAUAUUGCGCAAUGGGGGAAACCCUGACGCAGCGACGCCGCGUGAGUGAGGAAGGCCUUCGGGUCGUAAAGCUCUGUCAAGAGGGAAGAAAUGCAUAUUAGUUAAUACCUAUUAUGUUUGACGGUACCUCUAAAGGAAGCACCGGCUAACUCC